rnacentral:tRNA from 1 species
GGCUCGUUGGUCUAGGGGUAAGAUUCUUGCUUUGGGUGUGAGAGGUCCUGGGUUUAAAUCCUAGAUGAGCCC